rnacentral:misc_RNA from 1 species
AAGUCGUAACAAGGUCUCCGUAGGUGAACCUGCGGAGGGAUCAUUAACACGUUUUAACAACGUUUCCACACCAACCACGCGAACACUAUGAAAACAAAAACCCCUGAUAAAAGAGAAGAACCUGUCAUGCUUUGCAUUCGUGAUGAGCAGAUAAUAAUUCAGUUUAUUGUUUGCAGUGCAGAGAGACUGUUAAAGCAUAUUUUCAUUAGUAUGACUUUAUGAGGAUCAUCACUUCUAUCAGGUUAAGCCUUUCCGAAAUCUAUUCCUUCUUAUCACUGGAAUGGAAUUUGGAAAACCACU